GACGAACGCUGGCGGCGUGCUUAACACAUGCAAGUCGAACGGUGAAGCCCUUUCGGGGGUGGAUCAGUGGCGAACGGGUGAGUGACACGUGAGCAACCUGCCCCUAACUCUGGGAUAACUCCGGGAAACCGGUGCUAAUACUGGAUAUGAGAUCUCCGGGCAUCCGGUGGGUCUGGAAAGAUUUAUUGGUUAGGGAUGGGCUCGCGGCCUAUCAGCUUGUUGGUGGGGUAAUGGCCUACCAAGGCGACGACGGGUAGCCGGCCUGAGAGGGCGACCGGCCACACUGGGACUGAGACACGGCCCAGACUCCUACGGGAGGCAGCAGUGGGGAAUAUUGCGCAAUGGGAGAAAGCCUGACGCAGCGACGCCGCGUGGGGGAUGAAGGCCUUCGGGUUGUAAACCUCUUUCAGCAGGGAAGAAGCGAAAGUGACGGUACCUGCAGAAGAAGCACCGGCUAACUACGUGCCAGCCGCCGCCGUAACAC
rnacentral:rRNA from 1 species